rnacentral:tRNA from 1 species
GGGUCCUUAGCUCAGCGGGAGAGCAGCGGACUUUAAUCCGUCGGUCGCGGGUGCGAACCCCGCACGGCUCA